ensembl:misc_RNA 7SK 7SK RNA
GGCUAUGUGGUCAGUCUGACUGUACCGUCUGUCUCCUUCUUGUUGACCAGGUUUAAUUUGGACCAUCUGGUAAACCAGACAAGAACUCUUCGCCCUCACUGUUUCAUAUGCUUCCCUUCCAAAACUGUGCUCAGUCAAGAGAAUGACCUUGCCAGAGAGCUGGAGGAUUAAUCUUAGGUCUAGAAUAUUCUGAAGAGUAGAAAGAAAUAAACCAUCCAUAAUUCCAUCAUUCAUAUCUAAGAGGUUGUAUGUCCUUCCUU